rnacentral:rRNA from 1 species
UGGAAAAGGAUGUGGAAUUGCACAGACAACCAGGAUGUUGGCUUAGAAGCAGCCACACAUUGAAAGAGUGCGUAAUAGCUCACUGGUCGAGUGAUUCUGCGCCGAAGAUUUAACGGGGCUAAACUAUACACCGAAGCUUGGGAAUACAACUUUUAGUUGUAUUGGUAGGAGAGCGUUGUAUGCGGAGUGAAGUCGUAGCGUGAGCGGCGGUGGACUGCAUACAAGUGAGAAUGCCGGAAUGAGUAGCGAGAUUUAUGUGAGAAUCAUAAAGGCCGAAAGACUAAGGUUUUAGAAGGAAGGUUCGUCCGCUUCUAGUUAGCCGGGAGCUAAGGCGAGGCCGAAAGGCGUAGUCGAUGCACAUACGGUUGAGAUUCCGUAGCCGCCGAAGUAUUUAAGUAAAGGGACACUUUCAAAGGGCAUGACCCGGGCGUUGGUAGACCCGGGCGUAAGGGACCGAAAAUUAGUAGGGAAGCAUGCUUGGCGAGAGGCGAGAAAAGCUUUAUGAAUAUACAAGGCGCCCGUACUGUAAACCGACACAGGUAGUCAGGAAGAGAAUUCUAAGGCCAACGGGAGAAGGGUAGUUAAGGAACUCGGCAAAUUAACCCCGUAACUUCGGAAAAAGGGGUGCUCCAGCAAUGGAGCCGCAGUGAAUAGGUCCAAACGACUGUUUAUCAAAAACACAGCUCUCUGCUAAAUCGAAAGAUGAUGUAUAGGGGGUGACACCUGCCCGGUGCUGGAAGGUUAAGAGGAAGGGUGCAAGCUCUGAAUUGAAGCCCCAGUAAACGGCGGCCGUAACUAUAACGGUCCUAAGGUAGCGAAAUUCCUUGUCGGGUAAGUUCCGACCCGCACGAAUGGUGUAACGAUUUGGACACUGUCUCAACUACCCACCCGGCGAAAUUGUAGUACCGGUGAAGAUGCCGGUUACCCGCGGCAAGACGGAAAGACCCCAUGGAGCUUUACUGUAGCCUGAUAUUGGGUUUUGGUAUUUUAUGUAUAGGAUAGGCGGGAGACUUGGAAGCUAGUGCGCCAGCAUUAGUGGAGUCAUCCUUGGAAUACCGCUCUUAAAGUACUGAAAUUCUAACCUGCGACCGUGAAUCCGGUCGGGGGACAUUGUCAGGUGGGCAGUUUGACUGGGGCGGUCGCCUCCUAAAAGGUAACGGAGGCGCUCAAAGGUUAGCUCAGCACGGACGGAAACCGUGCCUCUGAGUGCAAACGCAAAAGCUAGCCUAACUGCGAGAAUGACGGUUCGAGCAGUAACGAAAGUUGGAGUUAGUGAUCCGGCGGUAUGUGAGUGGAAAUGC